UCUUGCUUUUUGCAACCGGGUGACCGCGUUUUCUGCGCUACAGACUGCGUUUUUCUGACUCCUUUGUUUGAUAUCGUGUCGUAUCGUCGUAUUUAUGUAGUUAUUAGGAACGGCAAGCCUACGUUGUUGCGUCCUUUACCUGAAUAUCGUGACCGAAUCGAGUGUCGUCGAUUUGAAUCGUGUCUUGCGAACCAUCGUCGAACAAAAGGUCAUGGCUGGUCGCGGUUCAUCAGCGUUUGUUUUGAAACUGAUGGGUGCCACAAGGCAUGAAAGAGGCGACUUGCAGCAGCAAGACACCGCAAGCCUUCGCAGCAACUGGCUAGCCAGUGCUGCUCUGUUCUGAACUGUACUGCGUGUCAUGUGGAGGGUUUGUGCAAGCUCUCUGGGCGGCGACGCUAGCCACGGAGCUGGCCUCCCUCCCUUCCGUCAGCUGCAAUAUACUACAAGCACUGGGCUACAGCUGCAGCUAGCCCAUGGGUAUCGUUCUGCGUCCUGUACUGCAUCUAGUUCGAAAGGCCAUGUGAAAGGCAGGUGUGGUCUUUAUGGGCUCUGUCAGUAUGUGCAUUUUCUGCAGCUUUUUCGGGGCAACUUCAUAUUAAGAUUCAAUACGGACUCGAGUGAGAGGGGGGCAUUCUGAGAAAGCCAGCCUCUUUGUUAAAUCAUUGGGACUGCUAUUAUAUCUAUAGAGUUUAUUUACACCUUACGUUAUGUACUUUUUCAUUUAUUUUUAUUUUACUAGUUACUUAUACUUCAAUCUGACACGACAGCCACCAAAAAUAUUGACAUAUUGGCCUUUUUUUUUCUGUCAGUUUGUUUGAAGAGCCAAUGUUGGGGGCGGUCAUUCAUGUUAUAUUUCCCACACGCACGUCCAGCCUAUGUUUACGUAAAGCCCAAUUGCCCCUUAGCAACAAAAAUAAUUUAUGCGACAGACUACACGGCAGCAUUGUGGACGAAAACAGGCCAGAUUAUAUCUGCCAUGUUUAAAAACUACAUUCGGCGACAGGUUAUGAAUUCAGUGGCAAGAAUGCACACCGCCUGCCAAUCGCUGCCGUCAGUUGUCCUGACGUCAUGUCUGCUAAGAAACUAGAAUAUAUUUUUUUUAAAUGGCAGGUUUUCGUUGCUGACGCCACGUAGCAUGUCGGCACUCUAAGCACUUCUUCUGCUCUUGGCCUUUCCGGUUUUACCUUGCGAAGUCAUGACGGUGUCUGCUUUUGUUUGCAGUAUUUCCCGUGUGUCGACGUGAGAAGGCAGCGGUUGUAUCGCCAAGGAAGUAGCAAUCAAUCUGCGCGCAUUUGUUCCAGCGGCACAGCAUUUACAAACCGGACUUUGCCCUUCAGCGAGGGGAAAGUCUACCGACUCGCCCUACAGUUGGUACCGGGGACCAUGACAUCAAUGAGCUGGCUUUCACCUUGUCCAAGGCAGCAGCGGAACACUACGGGCGGGACCCUGGAUCACUGCACCGUGGAUGCCGUUCUGUACCCUGCACGGCACUGCGUGUGGCUUAAGUGGCCAAGCAGAGGGUCAUUGCAUGACUUUUAUGAGGCGCCGCUAGCCAUUGUUUCAAACCGUCCUGAAUCACGGACCGAGCCUUGCAAGACCUCACUCUUAUGCCCUCUCCUUUCUGGUAGAUCGGGUCUUGCCAUCUUCCCCUCUCGUGGCUCCCUGUCUUAAAUAAAUAGUUUGUUUUUCUGA